CCCUUAGAUGUUCUGGGCCGCACGCGUGCUACACUGAGUAAUUCAAUGGGUAAGGGAACGCUAGAGCAUUACCUAAUCUUGAAAUUUGCUCGUGAUGGGGAUCGACGGUUGCAAUUUUCUGUCAUGAACGAGGAAUACCUUGUAAGCGCGGGUCAUCAUCCCGCGCUGAAUACGUCCCUGCCCUUUGUACACACCGCCCGUCGCUCCUACCGAUUGAGUGGUCCGGUGAGGCCUUGGGAGGGCUAAGUGGGCUGUGUUUCACAGACUACCUGGCCCGAACCUGGUCAAACCUUAUCACUUAGAGGAAGGAGAAGUCGUAACA
rnacentral:rRNA from 1 species